rnacentral:rRNA from 1 species
GGUUAAGCGACUAAGCGUACACGGUGGAUGCCCUGGCAGUCAGAGGCGAUGAAGGACGUGCUAAUCUGCGAAAAGCGUCGGUAAGGUGAUAUGAACCGUUAUAGCCGGCGAUGUCCGAAUGGGGAAACCCAGUGCAAUUCGUUGCACUAUCGUUAACUGAAUACAUAGGUUAACGAGGCGAACCGGGGGAACUGAAACAUCUAAGUACCCCGAGGAAAAGAAAUCAACCGAGAUUCCCCCAGUAGCGGCGAGCGAACGGGGAGCAGCCCAGAGUCUGAAUCAGCUUGUGUGUUAGUGGAACGGUCUGGAAAGUCCGACGGUACAGGGUGAUAGUCCCGUACACCAAAAUGCACAGGUUGUGAACUCGAAGAGUAGGGCGGGACACGUGGUAUCCUGUCUGAAUAUGGGGGGACCAUCCUCCAAGGCUAAAUACUCCUGACUGACCGAUAGUGAACCAGUACCGUGAGGGAAAGGCGAAAAGAACCCCGGCGAGGGGAGUGAAAAAGAACCUGAAACCGUGUACGUACAAGCAGUGGGAGCACCUUCGGGUGUGACUGCGUACCUUUUGUAUAAUGGGUCAGCGACUUAUAUUCUGUAGCAAGGUUAACCGUAUAGGGGAGCCGCAGGGAAACCGAGUCUUAACUGGGCGUUAAGUUGCAGGGUAUAGACCCGAAACCCGGUGAUCUAGCCAUGGGCAGGUUGAAGGUUGGGUAACACUAACUGGAGGACCGAACCGACUAAUGUUGAAAAAUUAGCGGAUGACUUGUGGCUGGGGGUGAAAGGCCAAUCAAACCGGGAGAUAGCUGGUUCUCCCCGAAAGCUAUUUAGGUAGCGCCUCGUGAAUUCAUCUUCGGGGGUAGAGCACUGUUUCGGCUAGGGGGUCAUCCCGACUUACCAACCCGAUGCAAACUACGAAUACCGAAGAAUGUUAUCACGGGAGACACACGGCGGGUGCUAACGUCCGUCGUGAAGAGGGAAACAACCCAGACCGCCAGCUAAGGUCCCAAAGUCAUGGUUAAGUGGGAAACGAUGUGGGAAGGCACAGACAGCCAGGAUGUUGGCUUAGAAGCAGCCAUCAUUUAAAGAAAGCGUAAUAGCUCACUGGUCGAGUCGGCCUGCGCGGAAGAUGUAACGGGGCUAAACCAUGCACCGAAGCUGCGGCAGCGACACUAUGUGUUGUUGGGUAGGGGAGCGUUCUGUAAGCCUGCGAAGGUGACCUGUGAGGGUUGCUGGAGGUAUCAGAAGUGCGAAUGCUGACAUAAGUAACGAUAAAGCGGGUGAAAAGCCCGCUCGCCGGAAGACCAAGGGUUCCUGUCCAACGUUAAUCGGGGCAGGGUGAGUCGACCCCUAAGGCGAGGCCGAAAGGCGUAGUCGAUGGGAAACAGGUUAAUAUUCCUGUACUUGGUGUUACUGCGAAGGGGGGACGGAGAAGGCUAUGUUAGCCGGGCGACGGUUGUCCCGGUUUAAGCAUGUAGGCUGGUUAUCCAGGCAAAUCCGGAUAAUCAAGGCUGAGGUGUGAUGACGAAGCACUACGGUGCUGAAGUAACAAAUGCCCUGCUUCCAGGAAAAGCCUCUAAGCAUCAGGUAACAUCAAAUCGUACCCCAAACCGACACAGGUGGUCAGGUAGAGAAUACCAAGGCGCUUGAGAGAACUCGGGUGAAGGAACUAGGCAAAAUGGUGCCGUAACUUCGGGAGAAGGCACGCUGGUGUGUAGGUGAAGCCCCUGCGGGUGGAGCUGAGACCAGUCGAAGAUACCAGCUGGCUGCAACUGUUUAUUAAAAACACAGCACUGUGCAAACACGAAAGUGGACGUAUACGGUGUGACGCCUGCCCGGUGCCGGAAGGUUAAUUGAUGGGGUUAUCCGUAAGGAGAAGCUCUUGAUCGAAGCCCCGGUAAACGGCGGCCGUAACUAUAACGGUCCUAAGGUAGCGAAAUUCCUUGUCGGGUAAGUUCCGACCUGCACGAAUGGCGUAAUGAUGGCCAGGCUGUCUCCACCCGAGACUCAGUGAAAUUGAACUCGCUGUGAAGAUGCAGUGUACCCGCGGCAAGACGGAAAGACCCCGUGAACCUUUACUAUAGCUUGACACUGAACAUUGAGCCUUGAUGUGUAGGAUAGGUGGGAGGCUUUGAAGCGUGGACGCCAGUCUGCGUGGAGCCAACCUUGAAAUACCACCCUUUAAUGUUUGAUGUUCUAACGUUGGCCCCUGACCGGGGUUGCGGACAGUGUCUGGUGGGUAGUUUGACUGGGGCGGUCUCCUCCCAAAGCGUAACGGAGGAGCACGAAGGUUAGCUAAUCCUGGUCGGACAUCAGGAGGUUAGUGCAAUGGCAUAAGCUAGCUUGACUGCGAGCGUGACGGCGCGAGCAGGUGCGAAAGCAGGUCAUAGUGAUCCGGUGGUUCUGAAUGGAAGGGCCAUCGCUCAACGGAUAAAAGGUACUCCGGGGAUAACAGGCUGAUACCGCCCAAGAGUUCAUAUCGACGGCGGUGUUUGGCACCUCGAUGUCGGCUCAUCACAUCCUGGGGCUGAAGUAGGUCCCAAGGGUAUGGCUGUUCGCCAUUUAAAGUGGUACGCGAGCUGGGUUUAGAACGUCGUGAGACAGUUCGGUCCCUAUCUGCCGUGGGCGCUGGAGAAUUGAGGGGGGCUGCUCCUAGUACGAGAGGACCGGAGUGGACGCAUCACUGGUGUUCGGGUUGUCAUGCCAAUGGCACUGCCCGGUAGCUAAAUGCGGAAGAGAUAAGUGCUGAAAGCAUCUAAGCACGAAACUUGCCCCGAGAUGAGUUCUCCCUGAGACUUUAAGUCUCCUGAAGGAACGUUGAAGACGACGACGUUGAUAGGCCGGGUGUGUAAGCGCAGCGAUGCGUUGAGCUAACCGGUACUAAUGAACCGUGAGGCUUAACCUU